AGCGAACGCUGGCGGCAGGCUUAACACAUGCAAGUCGAGCGGGCGUAGCAAUACGUCAGCGGCAGACGGGUGAGUAACGCGUGGGAACGUACCUUUUGGUUCGGAACAACACAGGGAAACUUGUGCUAAUACCGGAUAAGCCCUUACGGGGAAAGAUUUAUCGCCGAAAGAUCGGCCCGCGUCUGAUUAGCUAGUUGGUGAGGUAACGGCUCACCAAGGCGACGAUCAGUAGCUGGUCNGAGAGGAUGAUCAGCCACAUUGGGACUGAGACACGGCCCAAACUCCUACGGGAGGCAGCAGUGGGGAAUAUUGGACAAUGGGCGCAAGCCUGAUCCAGCCAUGCCGCGUGAGUGAUGAAGGCCCUAGGGUUGUAAAGCUCUUUUGUGNGGGAAGAUAAUGACGGUACCGCAAGAAUAAGCCCCGGCUAACUUCGUGCCAGCCGCCGCGGUAAU
rnacentral:rRNA from 1 species